rnacentral:lncRNA from 1 species
ACAAAACAAAACUACAUUAAAAACAAGUUACAUAUGCAGUGUUUUUUCUUUGUUAUCUUUGUUUUCUUGGUUGUGUGAAGAAAUAAUCUCUUGUAUAAUCUUUUCCAGUUGUAUACGAUUACAGGUCUAGCUAAAAAUAUUGAAGACAGCAGGGAUGGCCUAGAACAAAAUAGCCUCACAGAAAUGCAUUGGUCUACAUAAAACAAUAGUUGUAAUUUCAAAGUCUAUAACCAUGCAAAUGCUUGGCCCAUCUUCUGGCCAUGUAAGGGCCAUGAAAAUCCCAACUUUCAACAC